rnacentral:misc_RNA from 1 species
GUGCAAACCUCCUGUUCAAUUGAACCCUUCAGUUUAGUUUGGUCCAAGAAACAGGGCUUCCAAGACAAUGCCAUGGCCAGAAAAAUGUUCAUGAUGAGUAUACAAAGUGUGUGGCACCAAAUCAACAGAAAAAUUAUGAUCAAGCUCAAAAACUUUCUAAUUGUCCAAACAUCAACACAAAUGUGAAACAGUAACCAUCACUGUGCAUGGGAAAAUUGAAUUCUGCUAAUGACAAGCAUAGAAAAAUAACAGAACCUCUAAUUGAUCAGUCUAAGAGAAUGAGAACAACACAGAUAAUCAUGACCAACCAAAU